GUAAAGCACUUUCAAUGGGGAAGAAUUUAAGAUUGCUAAUAUCAAUAUUAAUUGACGUUACCCAUAUAAGAAGCACCGGCUAACUCCGUGCCAGCAGCCGCGGUAAUACGGAGGGUGCAAGCGUUAAUCGGAAUUACUGGGCGUAAAGAGUUCGUAGGCGGUUUAUUAAGUCAGAUGUGAAAUCCCUGAGCUUAACUUAGGAACUGCAUUUGAAACUGAUAGGCUAGAGUUUCGUAGAGGGAGGUAGAAUUCCAGGUGUAGCGGUGAAAUGCGUAGAGAUCUGGAGGAAUACCAGUGGCGAAGGCGGCCUCCUGGACGAAAACUGACGCUCAGGUACGAAAGCAUGGGGAGCAAACAGGAUUAGAUACCCUGGUAGUCCAUGCCGUAAACGAUGUCGAUUUGAAGGUUGUGACCAUUGAGUUGUGGCUUUCGGAGCUAACGCGUUAAAUCGACCGCCUGGGGAGUACGACCGCAAGGUUAAAACUCAAAUGAAUUGACGGGGGCCCGCACAAGCGGUGGAGCAUGUGGUUUAAUUCGAUGCAACACGAAGAACCUUACCUACUCUUGACAUCCAAAGAACUACAUAGAGAUAUGUAGGUGCCUUCGGGAACUUUGAGACAGGUGCUGCAUGGCUGUCGUCAGCUCGUGUUGUGAAAUGUUGGGUUAAGUCCCGCAACGAGCGCAACCCUUAUCCUUUGUUGCCAACGAGUUAAGUCGGGAACUCAAAGGAGACUGCCAGUGAUAAACUGGAGGAAGGUGAGGAUGACGUC
rnacentral:rRNA from 1 species